UACGUAGGGGGCAAGCGUUGUCCGGAAUUACUGGGCGUAAAGCGCGUGUAGGCGGGGCGGAUAGUCGGACGUGAAAGCCCCCGGCUCAACCGGGGAGGGCCGUUCGAAACUGCCGCUCUUGAGGGCCGAAGAGGAGAGUGGAAUUCCUGGUGUAGCGGUGAAAUGCGUAGAGAUCAGGAGGAACACCCAUGGCGAAGGCAGCUCUCUGGUCGGCCCCUGACGCUGAGACGCGAAAGCGUGGGGAGCGAACGGG
rnacentral:rRNA from 1 species